rnacentral:rRNA from 1 species
GAUGAACGCUGGCGGCGUGCCUAAUACAUGCAAGUCGAGCGAACAGAUGAGGAGCUUGCUCCUCUGACGUUAGCGGCGGACGGGUGAGUAACACGUGGAUAACCUACCUAUAAGACUGGGAUAACUUCGGGAAACCGGAGCUAAUACCGGAUAAUAUAUUGAACCGCAUGGUUCAAUAGUGAAAGACGGUUGUGCUGGCACUUAUAGAUGGAUCCGCGCCUGAUGAGCUAGUUGGUGAGUUAACGGCUUAUCAAGGCAACGAUGCGUAGCCGAACUGAGAGGGUGAUCGGCCACACUGGAACGGAGACACGGUCCAGACGCCUACGGGAGGCACCCGUAGCGUCUCUUCCGCCGUGGGCUGGCGCUUGGCGGCGCGCCGCCGAGUGAGUGACACCGGUCUUCGGAUCGUAAAACUCUGUUAUUAGGGAAGAACAAAUGUGUCCGUUGCUGUGCCCGUCUUGCCGGUCCCUCGUCCGACCGCCACGGCUCCCUCCGUG